GAUGAACGCUAGCUACAGGCUUAACACAUGCAAGUCGAGGGGAAACGAUAGAGAAAGCUUGCUUUUUCUAGGCGUCGACCGGCGCACGGGUGAGUAACGCGUAUCCAACCUGCCCAUCACUUGGGGAUAACCUUGCGAAAGUAAGACUAAUACCCAAUGACGUCUCUAGAAGACAUCUGAAAGAGAUUAAAGAUUUAUCGGUGAUGGAUGGGGAUGCGUCUGAUUAGCUUGUUGGCGGGGUAACGGCCCACCAAGGCGACGAUCAGUAGGGGUUCUGAGAGGAAGGUCCCCCCACAUUGGAACUGAGACACGGUCCAAAACUCCUACGGGAGGCAGCAGUGAGGAAUAUUGGGUCAAUGGACGAGAGUCUGAACCAGCCAAGUAGCGUGCAGGAUGACGGCCCUAUGGGUUGUAAACUGCUUUUAUAAGGGAAUAAAGUGAGUCUCGUGAGACUUUUUGCAUGUACCUUAUGAAUAAGGACCGGCUAAUUCCGUGCCAGCAGCCGACGG
rnacentral:rRNA from 1 species